GACGAACGCUGGCGGCGUGCUUAACACAUGCAAGUCGAACGGAAAGGCCCUGCUUUUGUGGGGUGCUCGAGUGGCGAACGGGUGAGUAACACGUGAGUAACCUGCCCUUGACUUUGGGAUAACUUCAGGAAACUGGGGCUAAUACCGGAUAGGAGCUCCUGCUGCAUGGUGGGGGUUGGAAAGUUUCGGCGGUUGGGGAUGGACUCGCGGCUUAUCAGCUUGUUGGUGGGGUAGUGGCUUACCAAGGCUUUGACGGGUAGCCGGCCUGAGAGGGUGACCGGCCACAUUGGGACUGAGAUACGGCCCAGACUCCUACGGGAGGCAGCAGUGGGGAAUAUUGCACAAUGGGCGGAAGCCUGAUGCAGCAACGCCGCGUGCGGGAUGACGGCCUUCGGGUUGUAAACCGCUUUCGCCUGUGACGAAGCGUGAGUGACGGUAAUGGGUAAAGAGGCACCGGCUAACUACGUGCCAGCAGCCGCGGUGAUACGUAGGGUGCGAGCGUUGUCCGGAUUUAUUGGGCGUAAAGGGCUCGUAGGUGGUUGAUCGCGUCGGAAGUGUAAUCUUGGGGCUUAACCCUGAGCGUGCUUUCGAUACGGGUUGACUUGAGGAAGGUAGGGGAGAAUGGAAUUCCUGGUGGAGCGGUGGAAUGCGCAGAUAUCAGGAGGAACACCAGUGGCGAAGGCGGUUCUCUGGGCCUUUCCUGACGCUGAGGAGCGAAAGCGUGGGGAGCGAACAGGCUUAGAUACCCUGGUAGUCCACGCUGUAAACGGUGGGUACUAGGUGUGGGGUCCAUUCCACGGGUUCCGUGCCGUAGCUAACGCUUUAAGUACCCCGCCUGGGGAGUACGGCCGCGAGGCUAAAACUCAAAGGAAUUGACGGGGCCCCGCACAAGCGGCGGAGCAUGCGGAUUAAUUCGAUGCAACGCGUAGAACCUUACCUGGGUUUGACAUGGAUCGGGAGCGCUCAGAGAUGGGUGUGCCUCUUUUGGGGUCGGUUCACAGGUGGUGCAUGGCUGUCGUCAGCUCGUGUCGUGAGAUGUUGGGUUAAGUCCCGCAACGAGCGCAACCCUUGUUCACUGUUGCCAGCACGUUAUGGUGGGGACUCAGUGGAGACCGCCGGGGUCAACUCGGAGGAAGGUGGGGAUGAUGUCAAGUCAUCAUGCCCCUUAUGUCCAGGGCUUCACGCAUGCUACAAUGGCUGGUACAGAGAGUGGCGAGCCUGUGAGGGUGAGCGAAUCUCGGAAAGCCGGUCUCAGUUCGGAUUGGGGUCUGCAACUCGACCUCAUGAAGUCGGAGUCGCUAGUAAUCGCAGAUCAGCAACGCUGCGGUGAAUACGUUCCCGGG
rnacentral:rRNA from 1 species